GACGAACGCUGGCGGCGUGCUUAACACAUGCAAGUCGAACGGAAAGGCCCCUUUGGGGGUACUCGAGUGGCGAACGGGUGCGUAACACGUGAGUAACCUGCCCUUGACUUCGGGAUAACUUCAGGAAACUGGGGCUAAUACCGGAUAGGAAUCCUUGCUGCAUGGUGGGGGUUGGAAAGCUUCGGCGGUUUUGGAUGGACUCGCGGCUUAUCAGCUUGUUGGUGGGGUAGUGGCUUACCAAGGCUUUGACGGGUAGCCGGCCUGAGAGGGCGACCGGCCACAUUGGGACUGAGAUACGGCCCAGACGCCGACGGGAGGCAGCAGUGGGGAAUAUUGCACGAUGGGCGGAAGCCUGAUGCAGCAACGCCGCGUGCGGGAUGACGGCCUUCGGGUUGUAAACCGCUUUCAGCAGGGGCGAAGCUUGUGGUGACGGUACCUGCAGAAGAAGCACCGGCUAACUACGUG
rnacentral:rRNA from 1 species